rnacentral:rRNA from 1 species
UACGGGGGGGGCAAGCGUUGUUCGGAAUUACUGGGCGUAAAGGGCGCGUAGGCGGCUAGAUGUGUCAAAGGUGAAAUCCCUCGGCUCAACUGAGGAACUGCCUUUGAAACUGUCUGGCUUGAGGCCGGGAGAGGGUAGCGGAAUUCCCAGUGUAGCGGUGAAAUGCGUAGAUAUCGUAAGGAAGACCAGUGGCGAAGGCGGGUCUCUGGACAGUUCCUGACGCUGAGGCACGAAGGUCAGGGGAGCAAACGGG